rnacentral:lncRNA from 1 species
GGAGAAGCCAGGGCUGCAGUGGUAAUAUUUCUCAUUUGUUUGUGUCACACAGAGGAUUUAUUUGCAGGAAGAGUCCAACUCCAAAGAGAAAAUGAAUAGCCAAUACAUACGUCAUGAAGUGCGGGGAUGCGAAACUAGUGACCUGAGGAAAUUCUGGGAAAAGACUAUUGAACAACAAACUCGGUAUCUGCAAAUUGAAAAAGAACGUCAGCGAAGAAGUGCUCUGACAAAGCUCAGAAAUGAAUGGAUGGAGAGGCUGGAAAAACGGAUAAAGAUGUUGAGGACCCAACCUGAAGACCCAUCUAGCUGAAGAUCCCACACUCAUUACAUGUUUGGAGCAAAAAGAAAAUUGCUUUGUAG